AUGAUCCAAACCUUGAUCUUGCGCGCUGCGCGUUGGUUCACAUUGCUUAGACAGACUAUGGUGUAUGAUUUCAGGCCGGGCAUUUCGCUGCCAUUGUCACACUGUUGGCAAGAAUAUCUCCACGAGACUGGCGUUUAUCCUCAACAAACAUUCUUUACUAGUGAGGUACAGACUGCGAUAAGAAGCUCACCAUUGACCAUUGUAAUCCGCCCCAGCCCAUUCACGCUCUCUCAGCCUGCUGCUAUUUCCCGUGCGCUUAUCGGCAAACUCACAAGGUUAUAAAGACCCUGGCUCGAGUACAUCCCAGUAAUUGGAAUAUUCCUCGUCGUUCGUCCCUGUUAGUGAAAAGCCUCUUGAAGAGCAAGCAAGUUUUCGUUCGGUUUGAGAGAAGUGAUUGAUCAGCAAAAUGAAGACGUCUGUAUUUACUCUCCCAGCAUUGCUGUUGGUGUUAGCUGUGGUGUUCAGCCAGCCUGCGGAUUCCACUGCUAAGAAGGUAGUGAAAGGCACGCGGCUGGUCGAGGAGGUCAUGCGACGGCUGGAUACUCGCAGCUCAGAUUCCGUCGACUCUGUGUCUGUGGACUCGGUUGAUUCCGUAUCCGUAGAUUCCGCGUCAUCUAUCAGUGAAGACUCAUCUGGGGACGAUGACUCGAGUGCGGAUGGAGACAGUCGCUAGCAGGCCCGCCGUAUCUGAACUCUAUUGUACAACGCUAUACUUCUAUCGCCAAGCAACUUUCCGACACUGCGAUUUUGUUCACUUCGUAAGCACUGAUCUUUACUUCUUUUCUUUUCAUAUGAUUGUACUAGUUGAGCUUCUCCUCUUGCAGACUCUCUUCCUUUGCGUCAUUGUAUCAGUUGAUUUACGCUUCCUGGCCUGAAAAGCACCGCUCUGCCACUCAACGCAUGAUAUCGAAUAGUAAUGAUUACGUCAUUGGCAAAGCCUCUAUGUGCCCCACCUACGCUUCAUAUCGUACCGAUCUCUUUGCGCUGAUCUUUCCCCGAUACUGUACUAGCAUUAGUAUUCUAUGGCAAGAUUCCCUCUAUGGCAAGAUUCCAACAUUUUGUCACCUCAUUUCCAAAAUAAUUUACCCAGUACAUUUGGAUGUCGCACGAGUUGCGCGAGCGAACCCCA